UUACGUGGUUUGAUAUUAUCUUGCCACCUGUUUGCCAUUUUUUUUCUCUCUUCCCGAAUCUUCUCCACCUACUCCCAUGGCAGAAGAGGAAAUUGCACCACCUACUGUGCAAUCGUCUUCUUCCCUCACUCAAACUUUUGUUGAACACUACAAUAAUCCAUACUUCUUUCAUCAUUCAGACAAUACAAGCUUGGUUCUAUCUGACUUGUUGAUAGAUGAGAAUUAUACCUCUUGGAGCAGGGCGAUGGUUAUUACAUUCACUGUGAAGAAUAAAAUUGGUUUCGUCGACGGAUCGAUUCCUCGUCCUACUGGUGAGUUGCUCAAUUCGUGAAUUAUUUGUGACAACAUCGUUAUUUCUUGGAUCUUGAAUUCGUUAUCCAAAGAAAUUUCGACCAGUGCGUUGUUCUUUGAUUCUGUGCACGAAAUUUGGCUCGAUCUCAAAGAGAGGUUUCAACGCCAAAAUCGACCACGGAUAUUUCAGCUUCGCCGCGAUUUGACAAAUUUAGUCCAAGAUCAGCUUUCUGUAAGUUCUUAUUUUACUCGCCUGAAGACUUUGUGGACUAAACUUUCUUCGUAUCGCCCCUCCUGUUCUUGUGACAAGUGUUCGUGUGGCGACGUUAAAUUGCUCGAUGAACACUUCGAGCAAGAAUAUGUUAUGUCAUUCCUUAUGGGAUUAAAUGACUCAUACAACCAAAUUUGUGCUCAAUUGUUACUUAUGGAGCCUGCACCAACCAUUAAUCGAGCUUUCGCUCUCGUUGCUCAGGAGAUGCAACAACGUGCGAACUCACAUUCUUCAUCUGCUCCACCGACUGUUAUGAUGGUACGCAGUUCUUCUUAAUCAUCGUCCACCUCCCGAUCUUAUUCUUCAUCUAGAUAUCAAACUAAAAAGAAGGAUAAAUCAGUUUGCACACAUUGUGGCAUUCAAGGGCAUACUGUCGACAGAUGCUAUAAAUUGCACGGGUAUUCUCCGGGAUAUCGGUUCACUGGCAAUCGAUCCACUACUUCACGACACUCCACUGCUAAACCUGCUGAUAAUCCUAAACCUGUCACUUCAUCCCCUGCUGCGCUCUAGGAAAUUCUGAUGUUGUGACUUCGCUUGGAUCUCUAAACAAUGCCAAGGGCUUUUGACUCUUCUACAGACUCAUCUCACAAAAGCAAAGAAUGGAGUUGAUUCAGAUCCUAGUACCUCUCAUGUUGCAGGACAAGUCUUCAUUGAGGAUGAUUGGCAAGGGUAAACUUUGGCGAUGCCUCUACCUCAUCUCUACGAAGCUCGUUAAGAUUGAUGUUUUGCAUUGUGCUCCUGCUGCUACUUGCAAUUCUGUUUAUAUCUCUUAUAGUACUUGGCAUUAUAGACUUGGACAUCCCUCUGCUAAGCACUUACUUGUUUUGAAAGAUACUUUACAGAUUUCAUCUCAUACCCAUACUUGUAACAGUCCUUGUUUGAUUUGUCUUUGGCUAAACAGAAGAAAUUGUCAUUUGAUUCUCCACAUCAUAUAGCUGAUUCGGCUUUUGAUUUACUACAUUAUGAUGUAUGGCGUCCAUUUCAGUCUGCUGCUCAGGCUGGUUUAAAUAUUUUCUUACAGUGGUAGAUGAUUUUUCUCGA